GCGGGGAAGUCGCACAGUCCGGGAGUGCUGGGCCGGGUGGGAACCUUAGGGUUACUGUUCUGUCGGAGCCAGAGUCCUCCCAAGCCGAGGAAAAUAACCCCGAAAGUACUAGUUCCAAAGUCAGGCCUUGGCAAUCACUAGCUGCGCAACCUUUGGCAAUGGCUGCGGCAGUUAACUGAGCACCUCCAAACUUCAGCCUCCUUAGAGCCCUCUAGAGGCCUUAGCGCGUUGAAUUUUCACAAUCCUUGAGUGUCAGUUGGUUGCAGAGCUCAUUCUGUACAAACAAGCCUAGCAAGUCACUUACUCGACUAAAGUAUAAUGAUCGCUGCUAUACUUGUUGAAAGCAUUAGAAAUUCAUAAAAACAUCUAAUGGUGCCUCACAUAUCGGUGGGUCCUUAAUUACCCUGCUUCCUUUCCCUCUCUCUAAACUGUACCUCUACUCUCUGCUUCCUUUAAAGUAGGAAUCUUGUCUAUUUCCACCACCAAUAAAUAUCCCCAAGCGCCUAGAACAGUGCCCAGCACAGUAGGAAUCUGAUACAUUGAAGAAUGAAGUAAUUCAACAUUUUUCUAUGACUACUCCAGUCUCUGACACCCUUCUCCCUAAUGUCACCAUCACCUAAUAAAUAGGAUUGUAUCUCAUGAUCAAAGGGCCCAUUUGGUUCAAACACCAAUCCAGUGUUUGAAAUCUCCUCCACAUCAUCUCUGGGGUCUAUACUUAGCCAUGUCCAGUGUCAGGGAACUGCCUUUUCAAGGUAACUUCAUGAUGUCUUUGAAGUCCAGUCCUGACACUAAAAGUUUUUCCUUAGGUAAUACAAUAUCUCCCCUUGUUCUAAUCCAUGGGGUCAGGCAGAACAAUUCUAAUUCCUAUUCCAUAGGGCCAGAUCUAAUGGCCCUGUUCCCUUCCCAAACCAAACAAUUUACAGAUACCCUGGCUUUGUGGUUCUCAACUUUUCCCCUACUCCCGACACAUCCAAGGACUACACAGACUCCCAUCAUUAAUCAUGGCUGCCAUGGCAAUGAUAGGGAUAGGACUAUGCCUUCACUCUUUCAAAUUAUCAAGUUCUUCCUGGAGCAUGUUGCUAGGAACCCCUUAUAGAUGAUCCUGCUUUUCCCAGAUACUGCCUUACAGUAUUGUGAUCUAUUGGCAUACAGGCCAGGGGCUUGUCUUUUAAGUAGGCAUCCUUGUGGUUCAAUGGGCCAAUAGUAGCUUCAUCUCUGCUCUUCAUCUCUGCAGAGAUGAUCCCACAGGAAAAGUUGAAGGAUGCUGCAGGGGCUUCAACUUGGGCACAGUCUUGAAACUGAAGCUCCACGUUGGCUGUUGGGAGGUGAUGCCAUCAACGAUUUUUUUUCAGCUCAAGCAUAUAUCCUCCUUUAUUCAGGAUGGCAAUAAUAAAGUGGCUCUAGCUGCUUACACGGUCUCACUUCAUCCUGACAAUGACCUGUAUCUCCAUCACCUCUGUGUCCUUGGCAUUAAGCAUGAUGCAUGGAAUAUAGUACCACUUCAAGUUGUUUGAUGAACAACCCUCUGAGUCCAAGAGAGAUGACUCCUUUGACUCCUGGGUCUUUGACUCUUGGUUCUUGAAAUUAAACUACUUUCUGUAUGUUUAUUUUAAAUAAAUAUUAAUAUGCAAUUAAAUUUAUACCAUACCUUACAAAUACCAUUAAUAUUUAUUCUUUAUUAAACAGCUUUAAAAAAAAAAAAAAACCUCUCAUAGGUU